rnacentral:rRNA from 1 species
CUGGCGGCGUGCCUAAUACAUGCAAGUCGAACGCACUCUCGUUUAGAUUGAAGGAGCUUGCUCCUGAUUGAUAAACAUUUGAGUGAGUGGCGGACGGUGAGUAACACGUGGGUAACCUGCCCUAAAGUGGGGGAUAACAUUUGGAAACAGAUGCUAAUACCGCAUAAAACCUAACACCGCAUGGUGUAGGGUUGAAAGAUGGUUUCGGCUAUCACUUUAGGAUGGACCCGCGGUGCAUUAGUUAGUUGGUGAGGUAAAGGCUCACCAAGACCGUGAUGCAUAGCCGACCUGAGAGGGUAAUCGGCCACACUGGGACUGAGACACGGCCCAGACUCCUACGGGAGGCAGCAGUAGGGAAUCUUCCACAAUGGACGAAAGUCUGAUGGAGCAACGCCGCGUGAGUGAAGAAGGUUUCGGAUCGUAAACUCUGUUGUUGGAGAAGAAUGUAUCUGAUAGUAACUGAUCAGGUAGUGACGGUAUCCAACCAGAAAGCCACGGCUAACUACGUG